rnacentral:rRNA from 1 species
AUACGUAGGGGGCAAGCGUUGUCCGGAAUUACUGGGCGUAAAGCGCACGCAGGCUGACUUAUAAGUCGGUAGUCUAAUGCGGAGGCUCAACUUCCGUUUAUCUAUCGAUACUGUAAGACUAGAGUAUGUGAGAGGGAAGUGGAAUUCCCGGUGUAGCGGUGAAAUGCGGAGAUAUCGGGAGGAACACCAGUGGCGAAGGCGACUUCCUGGCACAAUACUGACGCUCAUGUGCGAAAGCUAGGGUAGCGAACGGGAUUAGAUACCCCGGUAGUCGUAGCCGUAAACGAUGGAUACUAGGUGUGGGUGUCGCAGGGCAUCCGUGCCGCAGCUAACGCGUUAAGUAUCCCGCCUGGGGACUACGGUCGCAAGACUGAAACUUAAAGGAAUUGACGGGG